rnacentral:rRNA from 1 species
AUACGGAGGGUGCAAGCGUUACUCGGAAUCACUGGGCGUAAAGCGCGCGCAGGCGGCUAUUUAAGUUGGAUGUGAAAGCCUACGGCUCAACCGUAGAACUGCAUCCAAAACUAUUUAGCUAGAGUGUGGGAGAGGAAGAUGGAAUUAGUUGUGUAGGGGUGAAAUCCGUAGAGAUAACUAGGAAUACCAAAAGCGAAGGCAAUCUUCUGGAACACUACUGACGCUGAGGCGCGAAAGCGUGGGGAGCAAACAGGAUUAGAUACCCGGGUAGUCC